AAAUUGAAGAGUUUGAUCAUGGCUCAGAUUGAACGCUGGCGGCAGGCCUAACACAUGCAAGUCGAACGGUAACAGGAAUCAGCUUGCUGAUUCGCUGACGAGUGGCGGACGGGU
rnacentral:rRNA from 1 species